CCUCUGUAGUCGAAGAGUUGCCCUUGGUUAUUAGUACUGUGGGCAUGCCAGGCUUGCAGAGAGAGCAGCUGUGGGAGGAAGCUGAGGCGUGCCUGUAAGAGUCAGCAGCAACAUGCACAAUAUUCCUCUAACAGUUAUCGUCUGUUGCCAUGGAGAUAAUGACUUAUCCUAUGUCAUGAUUAAUCUAUCAGCAGUAAGAGCAAUUUUGCAGUCUGAUAUUGUUUAGCAAGUACAGUAACACCUGCUGAGCACUGAAAAACGGCUGUAAAU
rnacentral:snoRNA from 1 species